rnacentral:rRNA from 1 species
GAAUAGAACGUCAUAGAGGGUGAGAAUCCCGUCCAUGACACGGACUACCGAUGCUUUGUGAUAUGCUCUCGAAGAGUCGAGUUGUUUGGGAAUGCAGCUCAAAAUGGGUGGUAAAUUCCAUCUAAAGCUAAAUANUGGCGAGAGACCGAUAGCGAACAAGUACCGUGAGGGAAAGAUGAAAAGCACUUUGGAAAGAGAGUUAAACAGUACGUGAAAUUGUUGAAAGGGAAACGCUUGAAGUCAGUCGCGUUGGCAGAGACUCAGCCUUGCUUUGCAUGGUGUACUUCUCAGUUAACGGGUCAACAUCAAUUUCAGUUGGUGGAUAAAGGCAUUGGGAAUGUGGCACCUUCGGGUGUGUUAUAGACCUUUGUUGCAUACACUGACCGGGAUUGAGGAACGCAGCACGCCACUAAGGCCAGGGAUUCGUCCCAUGUAAC